GCCCCAAAAGCUAAAUGGCCAGCUGUUAAUCUUGUAAAUUAAAGAACAAAGGUUCAAAUCCUUUUUGAGGCU
rnacentral:tRNA from 1 species